rnacentral:sRNA from 1 species
CUCCAGAACUUGCUGUUCCACUGUCCUUCCUUCAACGCCGGAUCGACCACCAAGGUAAGCAAGGUAGCGCA